rnacentral:rRNA from 1 species
UACAGAGGGUGCAAGCGUUGUUCGGAAUUACUGGGCGUAAAGCGCGUGUAGGUGGCGAUGUAAGUCGGGUGUGAAAUCCCUUGGCUCAACCAAGGAAGUGCACUCGAUACUGCUUCGCUUGAGUACUGGAGGGGAUGGCGGAAUUCCCGGUGUAGAGGUGAAAUGCGUAGAUAUCGGGAGGAACACCUGUGGCGAAGGCGGCCAUCUGGACAGUCACUGACACUGAGACGCGAAAGCGUGGGUAGCAAACAGG